rnacentral:rRNA from 1 species
UACGUAGGGGGCAAGCGUUGUCCGGAUUUAUUGGGCGUAAAGAGCGUGUAGGCGGCCAGGUAGGUCUGCUGUGAAAACUCGAGGCUCAACCUCGAGAUGUCGGCGGAAACCAUCUGGCUAGAGUCCGGAAGAGGAAAGUGGAAUUCCCGGUGUAGCGGUGAAAUGCGCAGAUAUCGGGAGGAACACCUGUGGCGAAGGCGGCCCCCUGGUUGGAUACUGACGCUGAUACGCGAAAGCGUGGGGAGCAAACAGG